rnacentral:rRNA from 1 species
GCAGUAGCCGCGGUAAUACGUAGGGGGCAAGCGUUGUCCGGAAUUAUUGGGCGUAAAGCGCGCGCAGGCGGUUCUUUAAGUCUGGUGUAUAAGUGCGGGGCUCAACCCCGUGAGGCACUGGAAACUGGGGAACUUGAGUGCAGAAGAGGAGAGCGGAAUUCCACGCGUAGCGGUGAAAUGCGUAGAGAUGUGGAGGAACACCAGUGGCGAAGGCGGCACUCUGGAUUGUAACUGACGCUGAGGCGCGAAAGCGUGGGGAGCAAACAGGAUUAGAUACCCCAGUAGUCCCUGUCUCUUAUACA